AACGAACGCUGGCGGCAUGCCUAACACAUGCAAGUCGAACGAAGGCUUCGGCCUUAGUCGCGCACGGGUGCGUAACGCGUGGGAAUCUGACCUUUGCUUCGGAAUAACAGUUAGAAAUGACUGCUAAUACCGGAUGAUGUCGCAAGACCAAAGAUUUAUCGGCAAAGUAUGAGCCCGCGUAGGAUUAGCUAGUGGGUUGGGUAAUGGCCUACCAAGGCGACGAUCCUUAGCUGGUCUGAGAGGAUGAUCAGCCACACUGGGACUGAGACACGGCCCAGACUCCUACGGGAGGCAGCAGUGGGGAAUAUUGCACAGUGGGCGAAAGCCUGAUGCAGCAAUGCCGCGUGAGUGAUGAAGGCCUUAGGGUUGUAAAGCUCUUUUACCCGGGAUGAUAAUGACAGUACCGGGAGAAUAAGCUCCGGCUAACUCCGUG
rnacentral:rRNA from 1 species